CAAAGACUCUGGAGUUCGUCAUACACUAGACAUGUGGCAUGGAUCGAAAAACUUGGGAAAGAAGAUCCACCAGGUAAUAAAGAUUACACUGCUACUGUAUUUUAGAAGUGAAAAGUUUGUCAUUGCAAAUGGUCCAUAAUUUCUAUUUUGUUUGCUUAGGCAGCGCAAAGAAGAGGCUGUGCAAUUCUUUUUGCAUGGUCGAAGGACAUAUGUAACCACUUCUGGUUUUGCGCGAAGUCUGCUGCAACAUAUGAUGAGUUCUUUGAAAUGUGGACAGGGGUUCUUCACCAUGUCACUGGAGAACAUGAAUGGGUUCUCGGCGCAUGUCAUCAUGGUCCGUUGUUAGAAGACAGAGACAAAGCUUGGAUUACCAAAGGAUCAGUGGCACAUGAAGCACUGAUUGCCAUCGUUCUGAAUGUGAGGUGGCUAAAAGAGGUUGAGAAGUUUCUCUGUUUUAGAUCCACUGCUGAGCUGGAAUCUUUUCACAAUCACAUUCUUAUGUAUGCUGGAAAAAGAUUCUACUUUGUUUGGCCAGUCUACAGAGCACGG
rnacentral:lncRNA from 1 species